UGGGGAAUUUUGGACAAUGGGCGAAAGCCUGAUCCAGCAAUGCCGCGUGUGUGAAGAAGGCCUUCGGGUUGUAAGCACUUUUGUCCGGAAAGAAAUCCUUGGCUCUAAUACAGUCGGGGGAUGACGGGUACCGGAAGAAUAAGCACCGGCUAACUACGUGCCAGCAGCCGCGGUAAUACGUAGGGUGCAAGCGUUAAUCGGAAUUACUGGGCGUAAAGCGUGCGCAGGCGGUUUGCUAAGACCGAUGUGAAAUCCCCGGGCUCAACCUGGGAACUGCAUUGGUGACUGGCAGGCUAGAGUAUGGCAGAGGGGGGUAGAAUUCCACGUGUGAGCAGUGAAAUGCGUAGAGAUGUGGAGGAAUACCGAUGGCGAAGGCAGCCCCCUGGGCCAAUACUGACGCUCAUGCACGAAAGCGUGGGAG
rnacentral:rRNA from 1 species